rnacentral:tRNA from 1 species
AGCCCCGGGGUGUUAGCACGCAAGAUUGCAAAUCUUGAGAAGCAGGUUCGCCCCUGCCGGGGCUU